CCAAACUUGGUCAUUUAGAGGAAGUAAAAGUCGUAACAAGGUCUCCGUUGGUGAACCAGCGGAGGGAUCAUUACAGAGUUGCAAAACUCCAAACCCAUGUGAACAUACCUCGUGUUGCCUCGGCGGCGAGCGUAUAGUGCUCGGGAGGUCCCUACCCGGGACCUACCCUUGAGCUACCCUGUAGCUGCCUACCCGGUAGCUGCGAGCGGUACCUACCCUGGAGCUACCCGGUACUAACCUACCCGGUAGCUACUAUGGAGGGCUUGCGCAUCCGCCGAAGGACCACUUAAACUCUUGUUUCUGUGUGGCACAUCUGAGUUAUUAUAUUUAAUAAGUCAAAACUUUCAACAACGGAUCUCUUGGUUCUGGCAUCGAUGAAGAACGCAGC
rnacentral:misc_RNA from 1 species